rnacentral:rRNA from 1 species
UCGGGAAUAUUGCGCAAUGGAGGAAACUCUGACGCAGUGACGCCGCGUAUAGGAAGAAGGUUUUCGGAUUGUAAAUUAUUGUCGUGAGGGAAGAAAUUGACAGUACCUCAGGAGGAAGCUCCGGCUAACUAUGUGCCAGCAGCCGCGGUAAUACAUAGGGAGCAAGCGUUAUCCGGAUUUAUUGGGUGUAAAGGGUGCGUAGACGGGAAAUUAAGUUAGUUGUGAAAUCCCUCGGCUUAACUGAGGAACUGCAACUAAAACUGGUUUUCUUGAGUACUGGAGAGGAAAGUGGAAUUCCUAGUGUAGCGGUGAAAUGCGUAGAUAUUAGGAGGAACACCAGUGGCGAAGGCGACUUUCUGGACAGUAACUGACGUUGAGGCACGAAAGUGUGGGGAGCAAACAGGAUUAGAUACC